UGGGGAAUAUUGGACAAUGGGCGAAAGCCUGAUCCAGCCAUGCCGCGUGUGUGAAGAAGGUCUUCGGAUUGUAAAGCACUUUAAGUUGGGAGGAAGGGCAUUAACCUAAUACGUUAGUGUUUUGACGUUACCGACAGAAUAAGCACCGGCUAACUUCGUG
rnacentral:rRNA from 2 species